rnacentral:rRNA from 1 species
GAUGAACGCUGGCGGCGUGCCUAAUACAUGCAAGUCGAGCGAACAGAUGAGGAGCUUGCUCCUCUGACGUUAGCGGCGGAUGGGUGAGUAACACGUGGAUAACCUACCUAUAAGACUGGGAUAACUUCGGGAAACCGGAGCUAAUACCGGAUAAUAUAGUGAACCGCAUGGUUCAAUAGUGAAAGACGGUUUUGCUGUCACUUAUAGAUGGAUCCGCGCCGCAUUAGCUAGUUGGUAAGGUAACGGCUUACCAAGGCAACGAUGCGUAGCCGACCUGAGAGGGUGAUCGGCCACACUGGAACUGAGACACGGUCCAGACUCCUACGGGAGGCAGCAGUAGGGAAUCUUCCGCAAUGGGCGAAAGCCUGACGGAGCAACGCCGCGUGAGUGAUGAAGGUCUUCGGAUCGUAAAACUCUGUUAUUAGGGAAGAACAAAUGUGUAAGUAACUAUGCACGUCUUGACGGUACCUAAUCAGAAAGCCACGGCUAACUACGUG